UUAGCGAAGUAUGUGAGCCAUGUGCCGAGAAAAGCCGCUAUCGUUUUAUAUGUGCCCGUACCGUAAACCGACACAGGUGGAUGAGGAGAGAAUCCUAAGGCCGACGGAAGAAGCAUUGUUAAGGAACUCGGCAAAAUGACCCCGUAACUUCGGGAGAAGGGGUGCCCACUUCAGGGUGGGCCGCAGAGAAUAGGCUCAAGCAACUGUUUAGCAAAAACACAGGUCUAUGCGAAACCGUAAGGUGAAGUAUAUGGGCUGACGCCUGCCCGGUGCUGGAAGGUUAAGAGGAGAGGUUAGUCGCAAGAUGAAGCUUUGAAUUUAAGCCCCAGUAAACGGCGGCCGUAACUAUAACGGUCCUAAGGUAGCGAAAUUCCUUGUCGGGUAAGUUCCGACCCGCACGAAAGGCGUAAUGAUUUGAGCACUGUCUCGACAAUGCAUCCGGUGAAAUUGAAGUACCAGUGAAGAUGCUGGUUACCCGCGCCAGGACGGAAAGACCCCAUGGAGCUUUACUCCAGUUUGGUACUGGGAUUCGGUACUGCAUGUACAGGAUAGGUGGGAGACUGAGAAAUUGGAACGCCAGUUUCAAUGGAGUCACUGUUGGGAUACCACCCCUGCAGUAUUGGGUUUCUAACCAGCCGCUGUGAUCCAGCGGUGGGACAAUGCCAGGCGGGGAGUUUGACUGGGGCGGUCGCCUCCGAAAGGGUAUCGGAGGCGCUCAAAGGUUCCCUCAGAAUGGUCGGAAACCAUUUUAAGAGUGCAAAGGCAGAAGGGAGCUUGACUGCGACACCGACGGGUGGAGCAGGUACGAAAGUAGGACUUAGUGAUCCGGUGGCAUAAAGUGGGAUUGCCAUCGCUCAACGGAUAAAAGCUACCCUGGGAUAACAGGCUUAUCACUCCCAAGAGUUCACAUCGACGGAGUGGUUUGGCACCUCGAUGUCGGCUCAUCGCAUCCUGGGGCUGUAGCAGGUCCCAAGGGUUGGGCUGUUCGCCCAUUAAAGCGGUACGCGAGCUGGGUUCAGAACGUCGUGAGACAGUUCGGUCCCUAUCCGGCGCGGGCGGAGGAUAUUUGAGAGGAGCUGUCCUUAGUACGAGAGGACCGGGAUGGACGGACCACUGGUGUAUCUGCUGUCGACCAACGGCAUGGCAGAGUAGCCAAGUCCGGAAGGGAUAAACGCUGAAGGCAUCUAAGCGUGAAGCCCCCCUCAAGAUGAGAUAUCCCUCACAUAAGUGAGUAAGAUCCCUUGAAGAGUACAAGGUAGAUAGGGCAGAGGUGGAAGCAUGGUAACAUGUGGAGCUGACUGUUACUAAUCGAUCGAGGGCUUGAUC
rnacentral:rRNA from 1 species